rnacentral:antisense_RNA from 1 species
CUUGAUCGACCCCAGCCACAACGGCUCAUCGCGAUCCUGGCCGUAGGUCGCCAAAAUAGCCUGCGCCUC